GGACACUAAAAGACAGUACAAAGCUCCGUAUAGACAGACCACAGAUUCUGACUCUUCACAGGGGCGUGAUAACAUCAGUGAAUCUGAUUGCAUUCCGGGACGGCCCUUCAUCCCUUUAGCCGUACGUACCCGCAACCAGCUGGCCGACAGAGGAGGUUCACGCGGAGAGGGGGGCAAAACAAGAGGACGAAAACCAGGCCGCCCACCGCUUGCCCGCCGCAAGAGACAGUAAUUAAUCUAUCCUCACGAACAUUGACUGAGCUUGAACUUAAGGUACUCGGCCGCGGUCUAUCUUUUGUACCUAGCACCCACUUUGAUGAUUUUAAAUGGGAGGUGGAGAAAUACCGUUUAACCAGACAACUUAGACUACACGAACACUUUAAAGGCAACAAGACACAGCCUGCUGAUUUUCCUAUCUCUACGGAUAUACCUGCAGCAGUAAAACGCCUUCAAAGAAAGUCUACGUUUGACCCACCCACCAACAAUACUUCUAUUAAGACUUUUUCACUGUUUGAUUAUUGCGGUUGUUAUGGCAACGGUGGUUAGGAUGAUGUCGUCAUCAGUGGGCGCCGUCUUCCAGCUUCCGGAGCCAGCCGUCGUCACGUGGUGAGGUGCAGGUCUUUAAAUUACCUUCUGUCACUGCUGCUCCAGUCAGUGCUGUGGUCUCCUCCCUGCAUCAUAGCUGGUUCCCAGGAAAGAGGCAUCCUUGUUUUGAAUCCAGGAUGGUCAAAGUGAAACUGCUCUAUUUUUAUAGAGCAUUGAUUGGAGCAAGAGUGAACAUGUACCCACCGCAGAACAGUACCUUCUGUCACUGCUGCUCCAGUCAGUGCUGUGGUCUCCUCCCUGCAUCAUAGCUGGUUCCCAGGAAAGAGGCAUCCUUGUUUUGAAUCCAGGAUGGUCAAAGUGAAACUGCUCUAUUUUUAUAGAGCAUUGAUUGGAGCAAGAGUGAACAUGUACCCACCGCAGAACAGAGUAUUGGCCAGAGGAGUCUAUGCAAAGUUGUGUGCACUCAAACCAAUUGGUGAAGCAGCUGGACCAGUCCAAAGCAGGUAUGUCUUCUACAUGCUGGAUGAAGGUCUCCACUGCAGCUUCCGAUGAUUAAAAAUUAAGCCCAUGCAUCUUGCACUUGAUUUGUGGUAACACGAAGAACUUAAAGGGAACCUUCUCUAACUGAGCCCCGGUUAUCCUGGCAUCCAACUCAACUAUGGUUAUGUUAUCCUCAGUGACGGCAGACACAUGUUUUCUUCCAGAGGCCAUCUCCCAUGCUGAAAUUCUGCAAACCACUCAAACACAGUGUUUCAGAACGGUGCUUCCCCCGCAAAAGCAGCUCACAGUUGGUCAAAUCUCUCCUGCUGUCACAGACCACUCUUAUAGCAUAGAAGAAUAUGACUUUCCAGUGGCCUCUGCUGAGCUCCGUAACGGGUUUGGAAGGAAGCGAACAUGCUGAAUUCUUUAGUGUGCAGUGCUGCUUAUAUACAGUUCUAUGCCUUGAUAUUUCAAAAGAACUUUAGUCAGAGAUUACAGUUAACAACCAGACAGAUUGGGGGGAAUGUAAUAGAGUGCGAGAACCAGGAAGUGCGGGUUCUCAUGUAUUUUUAAGGCGCAAAUAGUUACACUGCAAAACAAGGUUUGUUUUGCUGCACAACUGAUUUCUGCAUUAAAAAUAUGUGAGAACUCAGAUGAAGUCCUGCACUUCCUUUUUUUAGUUUUUUGCAAAUUUAUUAUAAAUAAAAAACUAAGAAAUCACAUGUACAUAAGUAUUCACAGCCUUUGCCAUGAAGCUCAAUAUUGAGCUCAGGUGUAUCCUGUUUCCACUGAUCAUCCUUAAGAUGUUCCUACAGCUUAAUUGGAGUCCACUUGUGGUAAAUUCAGUUGAUUGGACAUGAUUUGUAAAGGCACACACCUGUCUAUAUAACGUCCCACACUUGACAGUGCAUGUCUGAGCACAAAUCAAGCAUGAAGUCAAAGGAAUUGUCUGUAGACCGCCGAGACAGGAUUGUCUCGAGGCACAAAUCUGGGGAAGGGUGCAGAAAAAUAUCUGCUGCUUUGAAGGUCCCAAUGAGCACAGUGGCCUCCAUCAUCCAUAAAUUGAAGAAGUUCGGAACCACCAGUACUCUUCCUAGAGCUGGCCGGCUGUCUAAACUGAGCGUUUGGGGGAGAAAGGCCCUAGUCAGAGAGGUGACCAAGAACCUGAUGGUCACUCUGUCAGAGCUACAGCAUUCCUCUGUGGAGAGAGCAGAACCUUCCAAAAGGACAACCAUCUCUGCAGUAAUACACCAAUCAGGCCUGUAUGGUAGAGUGGCGAGAUGGAAACCACUCCUUAGUAAAAAGCACAUGGCAGCCCACCUGGAGUUUGACAAAAUGCACCUGAAGGACUCUCAGACCAUUAGAAACAAAAUUCUCUGGUCUAAUGAGACAAAGAUUGAACUCUUUGGUGUGAAUGCCAGGUGUCAUGUUUGCAGGAAACCAGGCACCGCUCAUCACCAGGCCAAUACCAUCCCUACCGUGAAGAAUGGUGGUGGCAGCAUCAUGCUGUGGGGAUAUUUUUCAGUGGCAGGAACUGGGAGCCUAGUCAGGAUAGAGAGAAAGAUGAAUGCAGCAAUGUACAGAGACAUCCUGGAUGAAAACCUGCUCCAGAGCGCUCUUGACCUCAGCCUGGGGUGACGGUUCAUCUUUCAGCAGGACAACGACCCUAAGCUCACAGCCAAGAUAUCAAAAGGAGUGGCUUCAGGACAACUCUGUGAAUGUCCUUGAGUGGCCCAGCCAGAGCCCAUACUUGAAUCCGAUUGAACAUCUCUGGAGAGAUCUGAAAAUGGCUGUGCACCGACGCUUCCCAUCCAGCCUGAUGGAGCAUGAGAGGUGCUGCAAAGAAGAAUGGGCGAAACUGGCCAAAGAUUGGUGUGCCAAGCUUGUGGCAUCAUAUUCAAAAAGACUUGAGGCUGUAAUUGCUGCCAAAGGUGCAUCAAAAAAGUAUUGAGCAAAGGCUGUGAAUACUUAUGUACAUGUGAUUUCUUUUUUUUAAUUUUUAAUGCAUUUGCAAGAAUAUAAAAAAAAACUUUUUUCACGUUGUCAUUAUGGGUUAUUGUGUGUAGAAUUUUGAGGGAAAAAUGUAUUUAUUCCAGUUUGGAAUAAGGCUGUAACAUGAGAAAAUGUAAAAAAAGUGAAGCGCAGUGAAUAUUUUCUGGAUGCACUGUAUAUAAAUACAAUUAGAAAAAUACAAAGAAGAUAUUUAUUACAUAAUUGUCUUCUUUGUUUAUUGUAAUCCUUUUUAUAGCUAACACUCACCAGCUUUGUGAAAAUCCCUGGAGCUGCAGGGAAAUGAGAGAUGAGUCAGCAACAGCUUUGCCUCUGUUCUACAGUCAAACACUUCUUCUUAGAGCUAGGGAUGGGGACAUACCACAGGCAGUAAAGCUGCACAGAAAGGGAGCUAAUAGAGGGAUGCCUCUGAGUGUGGGGGUGGGCCUUGUGCACUGAUGGACACUUGGAUAUGUCAUGUUACCAGGAAGUCUACUGUAGUCGUAGCUUAGUCAGUUGUAGCAAGAGAAGACAUAGCGAUGUAGGUAAAAGACUCAGUGAUGUAGGUAGAAGACUCAAUGGACACUGUAGCUUAGAGUAUUAAGGGAAGAGUUACAGUGAGUAGGGGGUGAGACAGGCUCCCAGCAUACAGACUAAUCUCCAUGUGCAUCUCUCUAGCCAUGCACCUCACCACACAUCACUGGGGCCCAAGCAAUUGGUACCUGUUCCCCAAAUCCCCCCCCACCUAACACACACACACACACACACACACACACCUAGGUGGCCCUAACUAUAGCAUGACUGAUUGUUAUUGUACGUAGCUGUUAAAACUGAUUGGCUGAUUUAUAGGCAUUACUAUACUACUGAGGUUGGAAAUUUGGUGGUAAGCCAGCAACUGCAUAUCAUGCUGCUGCAACAACUGCCAUUGCUUUAAAUGGGCAGGAGUAAGCCGUUAAGCUGCUUUCAGUCAUUGCUAUGUAAAUGUAAAGUGCUUUUUGAGAGGCAGUGUCAUUGUUCCCUGCAGACCAGCAGUGGCUUAUCUUUUGUCCAAAUACUGUCUUUACAAUCUGCAUACUGACAAUUUUCUCUUCCAUUUACGCUGUUAUUGUUUCCAUUUAUGCAGAAAUUGGACAGCAAGUUAAAAGGCAAAAGUGCAAAUGUUAUAUCCAAUUAUUAAUAGAUAUAGAUUAAACAAUAUAGAUGGCCAUUUGUCUGUGAUUAUGACUGCACAGAUGCUGGUUUACUUUGACUUAUGCCAUAUCAAAUUUGCAGAUAUUUUGUGAACCAGGAAACGCUUAGCUGUGAAAGUGCAAAAGCUGAACCGAAGCAUCAAUUUAUACUUGGGGGGCAAAACGUGAAUGAAUUUAAGAAUGUGUUACUUACUUAUUUUAACUUUAUUAUAUUCUAAAUCUAUAUUGACUUACGGGAAUUACUUACAAAUCAUUUAAAUCCAAAUUGUUAAUUAAAUAUACCAACACAACUGAAUUAAUUUAAUUUAUAUUU